rnacentral:rRNA from 1 species
GAUGAACGCUGGCGGCGUGCCUAAUACAUGCAAGUCGAGCGAACAGACGAGAAGCUUGCUUCUCUGAUGUUAGCGGCGGACGGGUGAGUAACACGUGGAUAACCUACCUAUAAGACUGGGAUAACUUCGGGAAACCGGAGCUAAUACCGGAUGAUAUUUUGAACCGCAUGGUUCAAUAGUGAAAGACGGUCUUGCUGUCACUUAUAGAUGGAUCCGCGCUGCAUUAGCUAGUUGGUAAGGUAACGGCUUACCAAGGCAACGAUGCAUAGCCGACCUGAGAGGGUGAUCGGCCACACUGGAACUGAGACACGGUCCAGACUCCUACGGGAGGCAGCAGUAGGGAAUCUUCCGCAAUGGGCGAAAGCCUGACGGAGCAACGCCGCGUGAGUGAUGAAGGUCUUCGGAUCGUAAAACUCUGUUAUUAGGGAAGAACAAAUGUGUAAGUAACUGUGCACGUCUUGACGGUACCUAAUCAGAAAGCCACGGCUAACUACGUG